rnacentral:lncRNA from 1 species
GCCAAAUAUUACAUAAUUACAAGAUGCUCUCUUUUUCCCCCUUUCCCUUACCUCACAAAACUUUGUUUGAAGAAACGGCCACUCAUCAACACACAGAGUCUUGUCAUCCCCCUCCGGUUGAGCAAACUGCAAAGACAUAGUAAGAAUUAUAUGUACAUUACAAUUGAGAAAUGGAAACCCAAAAUUACACUUUCUUAGGAACUUAGAGAAAAUAUCAAAAGAAUAGAGAACCGCACUCUAUUCACUGAAUGUGUUUAAUCAUUACAUGUUGUAUGCAAAUUACCUUGCUCGAAUGCACAAAGACGCUGCCCUCCAGAGUGGCUGGCACAGCAGCUUCUGGAACAGGUCGAGGAGGAGGUACGCCCUCCAGAGUAGCUGGUACAGCAGCUUCUGGAACAGGUCGAGGGGGAGGUACCAGCUUCGAAGCUAUCAUACCAAUGUACAAACCUCAUGAGGAAGGAUCCGCACGGAAAACUGAUCCCAGUCCUCAGGCGCAUCCCAGGACUCAGGUUGGCUGCGCUAUAAACACAUAGGGAGAAUUAGUAUUCAAUAAAUGUGGCCUAACUAAAACUAAAGCUCUUCAAAAUUGUAUAACUUUUACCUUUCCGCGACGUCCGACGACAGUUUCCUUGAAGGGGUCAAGGGGACGUGGACGUGAAACUUCUCCCUUCACAACCACGGUAGUAGCAAAGGGUCUCACAGUCGGCGGUGACUUGGGAGGAGACACAGGCGGAGGUGUAACAGGCAGAGGUGACUGUAGCUGCCGAAAGGAGAAGUGCCACAGAAGCUUCGCGAGAAGCGGCAUCCCCAGAUCGUCACUCAGGUGGAUCUAUUAUAAUGAGAAGCACGGGUUAUUAUUGAAAUAAACUGCUUUUGCCGUAUAAAAAUGACAUUUCAUGAAUUUCUCACGUGCCAAGUUAUAACACGACUUACCCCAUCACGACUCCACAAGGCACGCGAGUCCAGCGGAAAGCGGUCAGCUGUGACGCAGUACUUUACACCUGCAGAAGAAUACAAAUAUUAAACCAUACACUAUAUUCAUAUUUUACACGUGGUACCAAGAGGUGGUGUUGAUACACUAAAAGCUUUCCUACAAAGAUAUUCUAUACUGACAUUAUCUCUUAAUCAUUUUUACAUACCGUUCUUUACUGCAACGCGACGAAACUCCUCUCGAAGGAAUUGUUGCGGUGCCAAUUCACUCGCCAGCCGGGGAGGGAAAUCGAGCACAAACACCUGAUCCGCACAAAAGUUUUGGAUUACACACUAUACAAUUCUGUUAAAUAGUCUGCCUUGAAAAUACACUUUAUUUUGUAACACAAAAACUACCUUAGGCCAUCGACUGCGGGCAGCUCUCAGAAGUCCAUCGAAGGCAAAUCCAGCCGCUUCGAUGCCGAGCGUCGCCGUGAGGUUGUUGCUUGGAGCCAGCAAGCAAACGAUGUCGGGGGUUCUGGGGAUGUCUGCGUUCAGCAACUCAGUGCGGAGCUCAGCGGCAGACGCCCCAGGCGUAGACAGGAACCCAAACGAAAGGCAACCGUCUGGCAUCCUCACGUAACGGUCAACCAACGCACGCAGAUGCGAGUCGCCCACAAACAGCACAAACUAUAAAUAAGGACAAAUAAAAAGUUGUCAUUCCACUCCAAACAUAUUCCACAGCUAAAUUAUAUAUUAUUUUCUGAAAGGUCUUUGACAAGUUUACCUGCUUAACUGGAGACUCAGGAGGGAGAUCCAAUCGAUGGAACUUCCCAGUGAGGGCAGAGACAGGCCAAGGCUUGACACGGUGACGUGCUCCAGUGCCAAGCACUAAUAAAGAGACAAAUUCAACGCAAAACUAAAAUGAAUAACUUAUCUCGAGCUGUUGAUCUAAAAGUCAAACAUCACACAUUCAUGCAAUAGAAUUCUGAGGAAUAUAAAUGAGUUGAAAACAUGCAUCAUUGUAUCUUUACGACUACAUACCAGGCACGAAGCCUCUGGCCGGAGUCGUCGCCAUGGGAAGAAUCCUCUUCCACUUCAUCUUGGCUAGAGACGAAGCGCGCGAAGCACGAGGCAUCUAAUGAUUUCACAAUAAGAAAAAUAGAAUGUUUCAAAAUAGUUAAAAGAUUUCCCUUUACAAAUAUACAUCAAGAAAGGCUGCAUGUUGAAAACCCCACCCUGUACAGAGAUGUAUUUAUGUAAUUAUAACCAUGUGUCUUCAUAUGAAAUGAACAUUAAACGGAACAGAUAGGUGCAAUAAAUACACACAUGCACAAGGUGUUCAUGUGAAAUCAAUAUAUGGGCUAAAGCACAGCAUUUAAAACACAUUGCAUAUGAUGGACAGAGUUAGAGUUUAGACUGUUGGGUGGAUGUGUGCGUGUAAAAAGGAAAUGUAACACGACAUUUCAGCAUUUAAAACACAUUGCAUUGUGUGGCAGAUACAAUCCAAAUUUUCCUAAUCACAGCCAACUUAUAAAGCUUUCAUCCAAGGACAAAUUUAAAGCCAAAUAUUUGCAUAGAAUGACAUAGGCAGUACAGAAACCAUUUUCCCAAAAAAAACAAUUAAUAGACAACUAAAAUGCUAAUUCAGUCAAAACCCAACCAAUAAGUAAUAUAACCAGCACCUCACCUUGACUUGAACGGGGGACGAUCUCCUGUUUCUCCUUUCAACACAUGACAACAACAGACCUACCUUGCUUAGACAAUCUGAAAAUCAGUAUACAGACACACACACGACACAGCCCCCCACACACACACACACACACCUAGACACACAGACACAGACAGACAGACAGACACAGACACAGACACACACCUAGACACAGACACAGACACACACACCUAGACAGACACAGACAGACAGACACACACACCUAGACAGACAGACACACAGACACCUAGACAGACACAGACAGACAGACACACACACCUAGACAGACACAGACAGACAGACAGACACACACACCUAGACAGACAGACACACACACCUAGACAGACACAGACAGACAGACACACACACCUAGACAGACAGACACACACACACCUAGACAGACACAGACAGACAGACAGACACACCUAGACAGACAGACACACACACCUAGACAGACACAGACAGACACACAGACACACCUAGACAGACAGACACACACACCUAGACAGACAGACACACACACCUAGACAGACACAGACAGACAGACACACCUAGACAGACAGACACACACACCUAGACAGACACAGACAGACAGACACACCUAGACAGACAGACACACACACACCUAGACAGCCACACACACACACACACACACACACACACACACCUAGACAGCCACACACACACACACACACACACACACACACACACACACACACCUAGACAGACAGACAGACACACACACCUAGACAGACAGACAGACAGACACACACACACCUAGACAGACACACACACACACACACACCUAGACAGACACACACACACCUAGACAGACACACACACACACACACCUAGACACACACACACACACCUAGACACACACACACACAGACACACCUAGACAGACACACACACAGACACACCUAGACAGACACACACACAGACACACCUAGACAGACACACACACAGACACACCUAGACAGACACACACACAGACACACCUAGACAGACACACACACACACACACACACCUAGACAGACACACACACACAGACACACCUAGACGGACCACACACACACCUAAACGGACCACACACACACACACACACCUAGACGGACCACACACACACACACACACACACCUAGACAGACACACACACACCUAGACAGACACACACACACACACACCUAGACACACACACACACACACACACCCACACACACACACCUAGACAGACACACACACAGACACACCUAGACAGACACACACACAGACACACCUAGACAGACACACACACAGACCCACCUAGACAGACACACACACAGACCCACCUAGACAGACACACACACAGACCCACCAAGACGGACCACACACACACACCUAGA